rnacentral:rRNA from 1 species
AGGGUGUAAACGCUGCAGACUUGGUGUUGGAGGCCCUUUGGGGGCAUUCAGUGCCGGAGAGAAGUUGUUAAGUCUGCUACUUGGGGAGUACGUCCGCAAGGAUGAAACUUAAAGGAAUUGGCGGGGGAGCACCGCAACAGGAGGAGCGUGCGGUUUAAUUGGAUUCAACACCGUAAAACUCACCAGGGAAGACUGUUACAUGAAGGCCGAGAUGAAGACUCUGCUAGAUUUUCAGAGAGGUGGUGCAUGGCGUCAGUGACU